UAUUAUUUACAGUUGCCGUAAACUGAGUCACUUCACGUGGAAUUUUUAAAACUACUGCAUAUUCGUAGCUGGCAGAGACAAAGGGAACAUAUAACAAGUUACAGCAGGAAAAUUCUUAUUAACAGAUACUGUUAAGGAAAGACAUUUAAAUAUAUAAAAUGGGAAGUAUAAUGCAGAUGGCAUUGGUGAUAAUUGCAUUAGGAUGCUUCCAGUUUACGUCGGCUCAACUGGAAACGAGUAACGACAAUGUAACCGAAAUCUUGAUUCGAUACGGAGGGCUCCUGAGAGACGCAGGGGCGACCGGAACAUGUACCACAACAUGUACAGCUUCAGGGAUAUUUCCAGUCCCAGGAAACUGUUCUCUGUUUCAAGCAUGUGUUCCUUCUACCAACGGAGGCUUUGUCUCAACCACGGCUUCAUGUGGGACGUUAAACUUCGAUCCCGUUGCCCUAGCAUGUUCAUCAUCGUACGUCUGUCCGUCAUGUACCGGACCAGGGUUCAUUUGCGUAUCAACUACACUGUUCACUUUGUGUGCUGAUAAUGGUGUAACAAUUUUAAGUAAUUAUCCGUGUCCGUCAAAUUAUUUCUGUAAUCAAAAAUGUGUUUCCCCUUGCUUGAAUUACAUACCAGAUUGUUAAACUGUAAUUCAUUUCAAACGAUAACUCAAAUGACUUAUGCCAUUAUUAAUUCCUAUUUGUUAAUGCACAUGACCAUAAUUCUUACAUGGUAACUGAUAUUAAAAAAUAACCUACUUUUACACGUUUGUCGACAAAUUACUUGGAAAACAAUCCAUAUAUAAUGAAUGUAAACUGUAACACAGCUGUAACAAUUGUGGCUUUAUCAGAGUACAAUUAAGAAAAUAAAUUACAUCAAUAUGACAAAAGAACAAAUAAGUAGACAUAUUAUAAUUUAAAACGCGUGAUACAUGUACAUUUAUACUUACAGAUACACACCAAGAGAAUGUCUAUCCUUUCCUUCCCAAUCCCUAGGUUUGAAGGCAAAUUUGUGUUACCUGAUCGACACCUAACCUAAAACUAGAUAUUUUCUGACAUUCCCCACUAUUAACUAUGAUUUGUACAGACCUGCCUCAAAAUUCAAACUGUAUUACCAAUAGAUAUACAAUGUUAUUAAGGGAGUAUAAUACGAUACAUUUAUUUUAUAUGAUUAAGAAUCACCCUGUAUAUAAUUAUUAAUUUCGUGGAAUAAAAGUCAUAUAUUUCCAAAAAUCAUAUUAAAUGUGACUUAGAUUAACAAACACUAAAGUUAGAAUACGAAAGAGGAUAUAAAAUGAGAAAUUAAACAUUUUUAAAGUUUAUUUAUUUAUAGUCUAUUAAACGACACUCUUCAGUAGCUCAUAUUAUGGCUUUGAAAUACGUGUAAUAUUUAAUGGUUAAUUUGAAAAAUAAUAAAAAUUAACUUAUACCUGAUCAUGUAUGGUAUUUUCUUAUCUUAACGGGAUUAUAUAUGUGUAAAGAUGGAGAUAUUAAAAAAUCCUGUGUUGUUGAUACAUGUUUUGUCGUCCUUUCUAGGACUUAACUUGCGACACACAUUCAUAUGAUUUAUCAGCUAUUGUUACGCUAUGACCUUGCUCUAUAUUUUCAUGCCAUUUGGAGUACACCUGAUUCAAUGUACAUUAAAUUCUGAUGCGUUAUAAACAAUUUCAAUGAAACUUUUGGCCCUUAUAAAAAUCUACCUGUACUUCAUAUUCGUAGCCCGUUGUUUAUUUUUAAAUUUAAACUUAAAUAUUUUUGUUAACUUUAAAUAAACCUAAACAGAAGAAAUCUACAUAUUUAUGCUGACGUAAAUAUACGGAAAUACAUAAAAGCAUGGUAUACACGUACGAUUUAUAUAAAUAUAAUUAAAGUAAAUAUAGAAGUCAGUGUGAACACGGGUCUAGAAAAGUCUACUAACUUUGGAUCACAACCAACAAUAGAUGUUUAACAUACCGACUUUCAAGUAGCUAAUCUUCUGUCUGAGACUUACACAACUCCUUAAGAAUUUAUGUUGUGAAUUUUUAUUCCAGCUAAUUCUUUAACGUAAGCAAUGAAGCAGACAUUUCUAAACUGAAAGACUUUUCUUUAAAAUGCAGGUUUAGUGUCUAUCAGACUACACUGCUCAAACAACGCAGAUGACAGCCAUGUUUAUAUUCUCUGACGUGAAAACCUGAAAUCUUUCUCUGCUAGAAACUUUUAAAUAAUCGUUUUUAAACCUUGACAAAAUAUGAAGAGAUAUAUAAAGACGAAAUUGGCGGGAGAACCGACAGGCACUAAUUUUUAACCGGGGAGUUAAGCUUAGGAUCUUAGAUUUGCGGUUCCGAAGGUCCCCAGGCAGUGCCAACUCGUCCUAGUGGAGUUAGGUUUAAUGAAGGUAAAUCAUUUGGACGUGUAGAAGAUGCGAUUAAAAGUAGAACAAGAUAAGAAUUCGAGUAGGGUUGAAGCCGAAACUAGUCUAAAUAUGAUUUAAGCAAUCAAGUCUUGUAAACAAUCCGUCAGUCAAAAAACUAUUACAAAUCGUCUACUGUAUCUGUUAACCCUCGCAUCAAGAAUAUUCUUUAAUGUCUUCGAGAUCAUUAUUCUAAUGUCUACACACGCGCGCAAUUCCCAUAAGCAAAGAUGUGGAACUAGGUCAUUGCUGGAAUUUAUGAUACUUUAUGUAUAUAAUGGAUAAUUUGGGUUAGUUUACGUUACGUUAUUGAAGAGUAUAUAUUCUUAGUUACAGUAGGUAGGAGCAAAAGUUCGUCUUCAACGCGACAGAGCUACGCUCAGAAGAAUUGACAGUCACUGUUUUAACUUACAAGAUGGCAAGUGUAUGGCAGUUAAUAACGUUGGUUCUGGUUGCAUUAACUGUGCAGUUAACAUGCGCGAAUUUGGAGUUAAAUGCUCGAAGCCUGGCUGACAACGAAGAUAACUAUCGAAGAAUUAUAGAUCGGAGAGCACGGAAUCUAAAUAUCGUUCCUCACACUAGAUCAGUAAGAUACCCACAUCUUUUAGACGCGCAUAAAUAUUACAUCCGAGUCACAUAUCCUGAUGGUAAAAUAGUAUUCGCGGAAUAUACUUGUCCCAAUGGAAUUCAUUUCAACCCAGGUACUGAAACAUGUGAAGCUCAGGAUGGCCAAAUAGCUGAUCCACCGAUAAUACCAGAGCUGCCGGACAUUAAAUGUGGAAGUUUUCUUGGAUACUAUUGCCACCCUUCGGGAGAAUACACGUACUGCACGCCAGAUAAAAAAGAAAUUAUUCCUAAAGCGAGUUGUGUCACAGACAAAAGAUGCUAUCCUGGUGAAUCAUUUCCGUGCACGAAAAAAAAACCCUAAUAUCCUACAAAAGUCGUUAACAUGAAAUCACAGUAUCAGAUAAAAGCUUAUCUGCAUUUCUAUUAUAUUCUACAUAUAUCUGAUAUAUUCAAGCAAAACAUUACCUGUCAUUCUAUCGCUUUUUCUCUCCCAUCUUCGUAAAAUUACUGCUAAUAUUUUGUAAAAACUUCUGUGUAUUUCCUGUUCUAUCAACGCGCAAUCAAACUGAAUGUUGUAGAAGUAAGAGAAUAAACAGAUUGAUUAGACGCAUUUUAUUAAGAUUAUUAA